rnacentral:RNase_P_RNA from 1 species
CAAGUACGCUGGAUGGUCGCGGGCAUAAGGCGAAAGCCUGUGCGUGAGGAAAGUCCGGGCUCCACAGGGCAAGGAUAACGGGUAACACCCGCCAGGGGCGACCCUCGGACAAGUGCAACAGAAAUAUACCGCCUUACAGGUGCCCGCACUUGUAAGGUAAGGAUGGAAAGGCGAGGUAAGAGCUCACCCACCGCAUGGAGACAUGUGCGUGCUGUAAACUCUAUCCGGAGCAACACCGUGGGAGAACAAUAGGCUGACCCGGCCGUUCUCAGGAGGUGGCUUGAGCGUAUCGGCAACGGUACGCCUAGAUUGAUGACCAUAUUGAACAGAACUCGGCUUACGGGCGGACUUGCAGC